GAUGAACGCUGGCGGCGUGCCUAACACAUGCAAGUCGAGCGGCAGCGCGAGUAGUUUACUACUUGGCGGCGAGCGGCGGACGGCUGAGUAACGCGUGGGAAUUUGCCCCAAAGUGAGGAAUAACUGCCCGAAAGGGUGGCUAAUGCCGCAUAUGAUCUUCGGAUUAAAGGAUUUAUCCGCUUUGGGAGAAGCCCGCGUCGGAUUAGGUAGUUGGUGAGGUAAUGGCUCACCAAGCCGACGAUCCGUAGCUGGUCUGAGAGGAUGACCAGCCAGACUGGAACUGAGACACGGUCCAGACUCCUACGGGAGGCAGCAGUGAGGAAUCUUCCACAAUGGGCGAAAGCCUGAUGGAGCAACGCCGCGUGCAGGAUGAAGGCCUUCGGGUUGUAAACUGCUUUUAUAAGUGAGGAAUAUGACGGUAGCUUAUGAAUAAGGAUCGGC
rnacentral:rRNA from 1 species